UACGAAGGGGGCGAGCGUUGUUCGGAUUUACUGGGCGUAAAGGGCGCGCAGGCGGCUCAUUUUGUCAGGCGUGAAAGCCCCGGGCUUAACCUGGGAGGUGCGUUUGAUACGGAUGGGCUAGAGUUCGGGAGAGGAGAGUGGAAUUCCCAGUGUAGAGGUGAAAUUCGUAGAUAUUGGGAAGAACACCGGUGGCGAAGGCGGCUCUCUGGACCGAGACUGACGCUGAGGCGCGAAAGCGUGGGGGAGCAAACAGGGAU
rnacentral:rRNA from 1 species